GACGAACGCUGGCGGCGUGCCUAAUACAUGCGAGUAGAACGCUGAAGGAGGAGCUUGCUCUUCUGGAUGAGUUGCGAACGGGUGAGUAACGCGUAGGUAACCUGCCUGGUAGCGGGGGAUAACUAUUGGAAACGAUAGCUAAUACCGCAUAACAGUAGAUGUUGCAUGACAUUUGCUUAAAAGGUGCAAUUGCACCACUACCAGAUGGACCUGCGUUGUAUUAGCUAGUUGGUGGGGUAACGGCUCACCAAGGCGACGAUACAUAGCCGACCUGAGAGGGUGAUCGGCCACACUGGGACUGAGACACGGCCCAGACUCCUACGGGAGGCAGCAGUAGGGAAUCUUCGGCAAUGGACGGAAGUCUGACCGAGCAACGCCGCGUGAGUGAAGAAGGUUUUCGGAUCGUAAAGCUCUGUUGUAAGAGAAGAACGAGUGUGAGAGUGGAAAGUUCACACUGUGACGGUAUCUUACCAGAAAGGGACGGCUAACUACGUG
rnacentral:rRNA from 1 species